AUUGAACGCUGGCGGCAGGCUUAACACAUGCAAGUCGAGCGGAGAUGAGGUGCUUGCACCUUAUCUUAGCGGCGGACGGGUGAGUAAUGCUUAGGAAUCUGCCUAUUAGUGGGGGACAACAUUCCGAAAGGAAUGCUAAUACCGCAUACGUCCUACGGGAGAAAGCAGGGGAUCUUCGGACCUUGCGCUAAUAGAUGAGCCUAAGUCGGAUUAGCUAGUUGGCGGGGUAAAGGCCUACCAAGGCGACGAUCCGUAGCGGGUCUGAGAGGAUGAUCCGCCACACUGGGACUGAGACACGGCCCAGACCCCUACGGGAGGCAGCAGUGGGGAAUAUUGGACAAUGGGGGGAACCCUGAUCCAGCCAUGCCGCGUGUGUGAAGAAGGCCUUAUGGUUGUAAAGCACUUUAAGCGAGGAGGAGGCUACUGAGAUUAAUACUCUUGGAUAGUGGACGUUACUCGCAGAAUAAGCACCGGCUAACUCUGUGCCAGCCGCCGCUGUAAUAC
rnacentral:rRNA from 1 species